rnacentral:rRNA from 1 species
GCCCUUAGAGUUUGAUCCUGGCUCAGGAUGAACGCUGGCGGCGCGCCUAACACAUGCAAGUCGAACGGCACCCAUCUUCGGAUGGAAGCGAGUGGCGAACGGCUGAGUAACACGUGGAGAACCUGCCCCCUCCCCCGGGAUAGCCGCCCGAAAGGACGGGUAAUACCGGAUACCCCGGGGCGCCGCAUGGCACCCCGGCUAAAGCCCCGACGGGAGGGGAUGGCUCCGCGGCCCAUCAGGUAGACGGCGGGGUGACGGCCCACCGUGCCGACAACGGGUAGCCGGGUUGAGAGACCGACCGGCCAGAUUGGGACUGAGACACGGCCCAGACUCCUACGGGAGGCAGCAGUGGGGAAUCUUGCGCAAUGGGGGGAACCCUGACGCAGCGACGCCGCGUGCGGGACGGAGGCCUUCGGGUCGUAAACCGCUUUCAGCAGGGAAGAGUCAAGACUGUACCUGCAGAAGAAGCCCCGGCUAACUACGUGCCAGCAGCCGCGGUAAUACGUAGGGGGCGAGCGUUAUCCGGAUUCAUUGGGCGUAAAGCGCGCGUAGGCGGCCCGGCAGGCCGGGGGUCGAAGCGGGGGGCUCAACCCCCCGAAGCCCCCGGAACCUCCGCGGCUUGGGUCCGGUAGGGGAGGGUGGAACACCCGGUGUAGCGGUGGAAUGCGCAGAUAUCGGGUGGAACACCGGUGGCGAAGGCGGCCCUCUGGGCCGAGACCGACGCUGAGGCGCGAAAGCUGGGGGAGCGAACAGGAUUAGAUACCCUGGUAGUCCCAGCCGUAAACGAUGGACGCUAGGUGUGGGGGGACGAUCCCCCCGUGCCGCAGCCAACGCAUUAAGCGUCCCGCCUGGGGAGUACGGCCGCAAGGCUAAAACUCA